GUGAAUCAUCGAAUCUUUGAACGCACAUUGCGCCCGCCAGUAUUCUGGCGGGCAUGCCUGUUCGAGCGUCAUUUCAACCCUCAAGCCCCAGCGGCCUGGUGUUGGGGACCGGCGACCUCGCUGACGCCCUUCUUGGGCCCAGCGUCCGCCGCCCCCGAAAUGAAUUGGCGGUCUCGUCGCGGCCUCCUCUGCGUAGUAGCACAACCUCGCAACAGGAGCGCGACGCGGCCACUGCCGUAAAACGCCCAACUUUUUUAGAGUUGACCUCGGAUCAGGUAGGAAUACCCGCUGAACUUAAGCAUAUCAAUAAGCGGAGGA
rnacentral:misc_RNA from 1 species